rnacentral:lncRNA from 1 species
GCGCGAUGGCUUUCGGGGAUUAUCCGGCGGAGUACAACCCGAAGGUCCACGGACCUUACGAUCAUGUCCUACGGCAAGCCG